ACUCAAAUGAAUUGACGGGGGCCCGCACAAGCAGCGGAGCGUGUGGAUUAAUUCGAUGCGACGCGAAGAACCUUACCCAGACUUGACAUGGGGCCGCAAGCCGGGGAAACCCGGCCCUCCUUCGGGACGGUUCCACAGAUGUUGCAUGGCUGUCGUCAGCUCGUGUCGUGAGAUGUUGGGUUAAGUCCCGCAACGAGCGCAACCCUCGUGCUGUGUUGCCUAUCACAGCAGACUGCCGGUACAAGCCGGAGGAAGGUGGGGAUGACGUCAAGUCCGCAUGGCUCUUACGUCUGGGGCUUCACACACGCUACAAUGGCCGGGACAAUGCGCAGCCACGCCGCGAGGCGGAGCGAAUCGCAAAACCCGGUCUCAGUUCGGAUCGCAGGCUGCAACUCGCCUGCGUGAAGUCGGAGUUGCUAGUAACCGCGUGACAGCAUAGCGCGGUGAAUAUGUUCCCGGGCCUUGUACACACCGCCCGU
rnacentral:rRNA from 1 species